rnacentral:rRNA from 1 species
UACGGAGGGUGCAAGCGUUAUCCGGAUUCACUGGGUUUAAAGGGUGCGUAGGUGGGCUUGUAAGUCAGUGGUGAAAUCUCCGGGCUUAACCCGGAAACUGCCAUUGAUACUAUAGGUCUUGAAUUAUCUGGAGGUCAGCGGAAUAUGUCAUGUAGCGGUGAAAUGCUUAGAUAUGACAUAGAACACCAAUUGCGAAGGCAGCUGGCUGGAGGUAUAUUGACACUGAGGCACGAAAGCGUGGGGAGCAAACAGG